GAUAGACAUCUGGGCAAGUCAACAGGAAGGUGGAUAUCCAAAUCUCUCUCUUCGCAAUGAGUUUCCAGUUAGAUGGAGGAGAGAGUAAUAAAACACAGAGCUGAGAUUCCUGACUUCACAGAUCCCUGAGGAGAUGUUUACUAAAGGGAAUCUUCUGGUCACUGUUACCUUCCUCCGUACUUACCUGCCUCAUGGAUAACACUGAAGAAUGCAGUUUACUUACAUCUUUUUCUGUUUGACAGAAGACAGUUAUUAGUUACCCUUGGGACAUCAAAAUGACCAAGGCAGUGUCUGCUAAGUAUUUGCUGAGACUCUGCUAUGAUUCUUUCAAGUCUAAAGACAGUUAUCUGAAUGAUAUCCCCGUGACAGUGGACUCCUGCACAUUCACAGUCCUGGAAGGAGCCUGUCCACAUUGGCAUUCUGGAAGUCCAUAAAAGACAAACGCAUAUGCAGUCCCCGAGAAAGCAUUGUUGUAAACAAAUCUGCACUAGAUGGAAACUCUGUUAUGUGGUGCCGGCAUGCAUGGAAGAGAACCCGAAAGGAAGAAGCUAUACGACUGGGGACACAUGUCUUAGAAGCACACUCAUUAGAUAAAGUGUCGCAUACUCUUUGAUAAGUGACUCAGAACACCCGUGUCCUUCCCAACAUUGGAUGCAAUGCUAAAGACAUGAUGUUGCUCCUGCUGGACCACACCUUGAAGGAAUUGCCUACCCCACCUCACCUCCAAAAUUAAAGUCUUUCGUUUUGACAAAAGUUAA
rnacentral:lncRNA from 1 species